UUCUAGCACGAUCCACUCACUCUCGAUGAUCACAACUAUCCACCACGAUGCUCCCGUUAAAAUGGGUAGAAAAUACAGCACUCAUCCACGUUCGUCACGUAGGUCCCCGACCGAUAAAAUAAGAGAUGAUUGCAAACAGAAUUCAGUUCUCGGUUUAACUUCCAUCCAAUCGUUUGCCUUUGAAAGGUUGUAGCUCGUAGAAAAGAUUUCGAGUUCGCGGUAAACAGUGCAGAGGAAAAGUGAAACCAAUCAUUAGGACAAGUGGUGCUCUGCCUGUGUGCCGAGAAUACGUGAUGGAUGAAAUUAUGAGAACGAUGAGUAGGCAGGAGUAAACAUAGUACUUUGAGAUCGGCCUUUUCUUUGAACCAGCAUGAUUCGCGGUGGUGCAUCCUCCUGGCUGGUGGGUGAUGUGGUGAUGUGAUUGCUAAUGGCGUGCAAAGCAGCGGGGUGGCCAGCAUGGCGCUGGUGGUCUAUUACCCCAAUCUGUCCGGACAGUGUAUCAUUAUUGCAGACGCCGAGGGAUACACAGCCACACUAUCGCCACACCAACAGAACCUUAGGCUAAGUAGGGUAAAAAUAUAUGUAAGUACACUAUCUUAUCACUCCAUUUUUUUUUAUGUGAGGCUGAAAUUUCCUUUUUGGUUUGGGAUG